GUCGAACGCUUUUUCUUUCACCGGAGCUUGCUCCACCGAAAGAAAAAGAGUGGCGAACGGGUGAGUAACACGUGGGUAACCUGCCCAUCAGAAGGGGAUAACACUUGGAAACAGGUGCUAAUACCGUAUAACACUAUUUUCCGCAUGGAAGAAAGUUGAAAGGCGCUUUUGCGUCACUGAUGGAUGGACCCGCGGUGCAUUAGCUAGUUGGUGAGGUAACGGCUCACCAAGGCAACGAUGCAUAGCCGACCUGAGAGGGUGAUCGGCCACACUGGGACUGAGACACGGCCCAGACUCCUACGGGAGGCAGCAGUAGGGAAUCUUCGGCAAUGGACGAAAGUCUGACCGAGCAACGCCGCGUGAGUGAAGAAGGUUUUCGGAUCGUAAAACUCUGUUGUUAGAGAAGAACAAGGAUGAGAGUAAAAUGUUCAUCCCUUGACGGUAUCUAACCAGAAAGCCACGGCUAACUACGUGCCAGCAGCCGCGGUAAUACGUAGGUGGCAAGCGUUGUCCGGAUUUAUUGGGCGUAAAGCGAGCGCAGGCGGUUUCUUAAGUCUGAUGUGAAAGCCCCCGGCUCAACCGGGGAGGGUCAUUGGAAACUGGGAGACUUGAGUGCAGAAGAGGAGAGUGGAAUUCCAUGUGUAGCGGUGAAAUGCGUAGAUAUAUGGAGGAACACCAGUGGCGAAGGCGGCUCUCUGGUCUGUAACUGACGCUGAGGCUCGAAAGCGUGGGGAGCGAACAGGAUUAGAUACCCUGGUAGUCCACGCC
rnacentral:rRNA from 1 species